CCUACGGGUGACUGCAGUGAGGAAUAUUGGUCAAUGGGCGCUAGCCUGAACCAGCCAAGUAGCGUGAAGGAUGACUGCCCUCUGGGUUGUAAGCUUCUUUUAUGUGGGAAUAAAGUGCAGUAUGUAUACUGCUUUGCAUGUACCUUAUGAAUAAGGAUCGGCUAACUCCGUGCCAGCAGCCGCGGUAAUACGGAGGAUCCGAGCGUUAUCCGGAUUUAUUGGGUUUAAAGGGAGCGUAGGCGGGUUGGUAAGUCAGUUGUGAAAGUUUGCGGCUCAACCGUAAAAUUGCAGUUGAUACUGGCAGCCUGGAGUACAGUAGAGGUAGGUGGAAUUCGUGGUGUAGCGGUGAAAUGCUUAGAGAUCACGAAGAAUUCCGAUUGCGAAGGCAGCCUGCUGGACUGUAACUGACGCUGAUGCUCGAAAGUGUGGGUAUCAAACAGGAUUAGAUACCCUGGUAGUC
rnacentral:rRNA from 1 species